rnacentral:lncRNA from 1 species
AUGGCGUUUAAUCUGUUAUUAGACUCAAUUGGCUUCUCUCAAAAUGUAAAAGAACCCACCCACCACUUUAAUCACACUCUAGAUCUUGUUUUAACAUAUGGCAUAGAAACUGAACAUGUAACAGUGUUUCCUGAAAACCCUCUGCUGUCUGAUCAUUUCCUGAUAACAUUCACAUUUACAAUAAUUGAUUACACAGCAGUGGAGAGUAGACUUUAUCAAAGUAGAUGUCUUUCUGAAAGUGCUGUAACUAAGUUUAAGAAUAUAAUCCACCCACUGUUAUCAUCUUCAAUGCCCUGUACCAACAUAGAGCAGAGCAGCUAUCUGAACGCUACUCCAACAGAGGUCGAUCAUCUUGUUAAUAAUUUUGCCUCCUCACUACGUACGACUCUGGAUACUGUAGCUCCUGUGAAAACUAAGGCCUCAAAUCAGAAGUACCUGACUCCGUGGUAUAAUUCUCAAACACGUAGCCUAAAGCAGAUCACUCGUAAGCUGGAGAGGAAAUGGCGUGUCACAAAUUUAGAGGAUCAUCAUUUAGCCUGGAGAAAUAGUUUGCUGCUUUAUAAGAAAGCUCUCCGCAAAGCCAGAACAUCUUACUAUUCGUCACUGAUUGAAGAAAAUAAGAACAACCCCAGGUUUCUCUUCAGCACUGUAGCCAGGCUGACAAAAAGUCAGAGCUCUACUGAGCCAACAAUCCCUUUAACGUUAACUAGUAAUGACUUCAUGAACUUCUUCACAAAUAAAAUUUUUAUCAUUAAAGAAAAAAUUACCAAUAAUCAUCUCACAGAUGUAAUAUUAUCUACAGCUACUUUUAGUACCAUCGAUGUUAAGUUAGACUCUUUUUCUCCAAUUGAUCUUUCUGAGUUAACUUCAAUAAUUAAUUCCUCCAAACCAUCAACGUGUCUUUUAGACCCCAUUCCUACAAAACUGCUCAAAGAAGUCCUGCCAUUAAUUAUUUCUUCAAUCUUAAAUAUGAUCAACCCAUCUCUAAUAAUCGGCUAUUGA